rnacentral:lncRNA from 1 species
UUCUUCAGAAGUUGCCCUUCAGUUCUUCUAUCGUCCGAAGAUCAUGUUGAUUACUCUCGUCAUUGAUCGAUUGUUGAGUGUCUCCUCAGCUUGCGGUUGAGAUUGUUGGUCAGUGGGAGGUUGAGUCGGACGAUCACGUCGGAAUUUUCAAGGUAGCCUCAUCGAAUUAGGGCUUCUAUCUCAUCCCUGAGCUGGAUACAGUGUUCGGUGUCGUGAUCGUGAUCACGAUGGAACCGACAGUAAUUCUUCCUGUCUUGGCUUCUC